rnacentral:rRNA from 1 species
AAAGGAAUAGACGGGGGCCCGCACAAGCGGUGGAGCAUGUGGCUCAAUUCGAUGCAACGCGAAGAACCUUACCAGGCCUUGACAUGCAUUGGACCGACGCUGAAAGGCGUCUUUCCCGCAAGGGACCGAUGCACAGGUGCUGCAUGGCUGUCGUCAGCUCGUGUCGUGAGAUGUUGCCUUAAGUGGCGCAACGAGCGCAACCCCUGUCCCUAGUUGCCAUCAUUCAGUUGGGCACUCUAGGGAGACAAACCUCUUUUAGAGGUGGGAAGGUGGGGAUGACGUCAAGUCAGGAUGGCCCUUACGGCCUGGGCUGCACACGUGCUACAAUGCCCGGUACAGAGGGAAGCGAAACCGCGAGGUGGAGCAAAUCCUCAAAACCGGGCCCAGUUCAGAUUGGAGUCUGCAACUCGACUCCAUGAAGCCGGAAUCGCUAGUAAUGGCGCAUCAGCUACGGCGCCGUGAAUACGUUCCCGGGCCUUGUACACACCGCCCGU